AACUUACUAUCAUUAUAAAUGUAUAUAUAUAUAACAGCUCACUACAAUCAUCUGGGCAUAGAAAGGGUUUCUAGCAGAACAGAAGCCUGUUGGCAGCAGCUCACCUGGUACUUCUACACUGACAGGAGAAAUCCUCUCGUCAUCAGCAGGUGAUCAACAGAGACGUGACUGAACACCGACCUGAAAACCACCCAAACAGCUGACUACUACGGCGGCCUGUUAUGCCCAAGAAGCAUGAUGGGCGAUAGAGCUACCGCCAAAGGCUUUCGUUGGUGUUCGGUAGAACUCGGCAGAGUCUCGACUACUCCAGCACGUUUUUGGUCGUGACGCAGACGCAGACAUGGACGCCAGUGAGCCUACAACCAGCAUGGAUACCGGAUCUCAGCAGCCACUCAAUUCAGUUCGGUCUCUUCUCCAGUAUCCGUUCGAGAGGAGAACUAUGGUGGAAAAACUUAAUGUCAAAGAGCUUGGACCAGAUCAGCCCGACGUAAAGAUAAGCCAGCAGGACAAGGAGAGAGGUAAACUGUACACACGAGGCUUCUCCCAAAAUUGGUACACCAGGAAGGCUUGGCUAGCUGGAUGCAAUCACGCUAAUGCGUUAUUUUGCUUUCUGUGUUUGUUAUUCAAAAGGACUGGGACAGAUAAGGCAUGGAUUGAGUCAGGAGUUACGGACAUGAAACAUUUUUCUGAGAAGUUGAAGAAACACGAGUUAUCCCGGGCGCACAUGGACAACAACACGGUGAAGCUAGCUAUGCUAGGCAGAGCUAACAUUGCCAUGCAGCUAGAGACGAGGGACACAGGCUUGCAGUGAAGAAACACAAUGAAGAAGUGGAUCAGAACCGGCACAUUUUGUCCAAGAGAGAGAGAUGUCAACACAGUGUAUGAGCACAAGGAUGACCUCCUCAGAUGUUUCCAGAUGAUCAGAGACUCGGAUGACUUUGAUCCAGUCACUGAGAGAGAGGCAGGAGGCUUUGUGAGAAUGCUGGAGGAAGAAGAUUUCGGCUUUCUGCUGGCAUUGUGUCACAAGAUCAUGCCACAUGUGGACAAGCUGUUCAACCAGCUGCAGAAGAGGAACAUUGACUCUGUCUCCAUCACAAGGGUCAUCCAGAGCUUCACCAACAGCAUGCAAAAGAUCAGGUACAUACUUGUUUAUUUAAUAUUAUUGUGAUGAAAUUCUCCAGUAUGUUAGUUUCACAAACAGUAAUGUGGAUGUGGACCAUAUAUGGUCGUGUUAUUUUAUGUGCAAUUUAAUGCAGUAUUUUUCAACCUUCAUCCACAAGGCAGUGUGCCAAUAGUCAGACACACCUGGAUUAAUCAGUUUGUCCAAUAAUGUAAGACAGGAAAUAAAAGAGCUGUGCUUAAUUCAGGAAAUAGUGAAGUUGUGCACAAAGUUCAGAAAGCACAAGUUUGUUUAAAAAAAAAAAUAGAACAGCCCCACCAAAAAUAUUUUUCACCAGCCGCCACUGGGUGGACUUGACUUUGAGAUGUAUGCAUUUGGGAUGUUGCCAUAACACUGGUCUAGUAUCUUGCUCCCUCUUGUGGCUGUUGUGACAUAUUGCCCUAGAUUAGGUAAAUAUGUUAUGAUGUCACAUUUAUUAAAGUCUCCCAAAAGAAAUACUGGCUGGUCUCCGGUUCUGUUGACAGCCCUGUUAAAACUAUCUGCUAUGGCAUCAGCAGCUAAGUUAAAAUCAGGGCAUGUACAAUAAAGAAAUGUCAGUGUAAUUAUUCAGUUCAAUGUAAGAAAACUGUAACUGUAGUUGCUGUUAUAUUUAUUUCUAAUUUCUUUUCUGUUUCUUUUCUUGUGGCUGUGUUCAGAAAUUCAUGCAGGUUUAUGUUAUGCUUUUAUUUUGAAAGUCAUAGUGUGCUUCCAAGCCAGCCACGCCUUAAUUAGUGAUGUGACCCACCUGUGUAACUAAGAAACAUGGAUGAGGUGCUGGCUAACUGACUGGAGAAUUCAGUGACAAAGCAGAAAGACAAGACUUGCAAAAGGACUAAAAAGCAUGUUAAAAGAUUAAAGGGGUGCUUAGAGUUCCUUCCUAAAGCAUUCAGCCAACGAGGUAUUUAUUUGUCUUUGUUUUAUGCACGUUUUGUCUUUUGAGUUCAUUGUAAAUCUUGUGUACACAGUUUCACGGUUUGAAGGAGGUCUUUGGAAGGUCGGAGAAAAGAUCAACGAUGAAAGGCCAACAAUAAAUCUGUUUAAAGGAACAACUUGCAUCUGGUCUGAUGGACGACUCCAACAGUGAAACUCGACUGUGAUCUGUGACCUGGUGAGGCUCUCCUGUGGCUGGGUGUGCCUGUGGUCAGCAAUGCCAAAGAAGCAACAAGGACCAGCUGAUCGCUUGAUAACGGGAUCUUAUAUGGUGUGCUCCAUUUAGAUGGAUCUUUAUGGAUCUUUGGCAGCAUGUAGAACAACCUUUCCCUCGGUUGGGAGGAGCCCAGCAAGUAAGUAUGUUGCUUUGCAUCAAUAAACCUCUUUUCCUUUAAUUUAAUGACAAUAUGGCUUUCCAUCGGUCUGGUUUAUGGGUAGAUUGGUUUGGUAAGUUUAGAAUAAUAAACUUCAACCCUUAAUUGCCUGUAUCCUUCUUUUAAAUAUUGACUUUUAUCCAUAAUUACUAUGGUGCUCCCUUUAUCUGCCGGUUUUAUUACUAUAUCCGAGUUGUCAGCUAGCUCUUUAAUGGCCUUUCUUUCCUCUGUAGCGUUAUGGAUUUAUGCUCUUUUAUGAAAGAGAAACCAUGCUACAUAUUAAUUCGGAAUAUUAAUUUUAAUAAAUCAAUAACCAAAUUUUAUAUUGUUCAGAAGACUCAAAGGUUGUUUUCAUCGAUAAACUGACGAUAAAAUCUGAGUGUCUGUGUUUCAGUUCAAUGAGGAAACCAGUUUCACAAUUAAAAGUUUUAAUUCAUCAAAUUAAACUAAUGAUUUUGAAAUUGACAAACAGGAAAUACAAUCAACAUUGGUAACUUUGUGGGACAAUCUUUUUAACAGUUGAUAUGCUGUUCUGGCUCAAAUAGACCUUCUGAUGAAUUUAUGAAGAUUGAGAAUGUUGUGAAUUGUGCUGGUGAUAUGAGAUGAGAUGGAUGUGUGUGUGCAUCUGAUUUUGCUUCAGGAAGAAAAAGGUGUCUGAGUGAAAAGUGAUGGUUUGAAUAAACUUAGGUUUAGUGGAAAAGAUGCAUCAAAACGCUAUCUGUCGUGUUUUGCCUCACCGAAAAUCGGACCCUCUGUUGGACCCGGGACGUCACCUUAGGAUGUUUCAUCCAGGGCACCUUGGCUGGCAAAGAAGACAAAGAUGCGCUGCGAACCGGUCCAGAGUUGUCCUCGGUACACGUUGAUGGUAAAGCGUUUUGUCGACGCGCUUUCUUAAGUUAAUUCACUCAGAAAUCAAAAGACUCGGUAGUGAGUCUGCGUUAGAAGUUGCGAUUCAGCUAUUCUGCCUGGCUUGGCAGAAACAGCGUGAAAGGGGGGGGAGAAACGAGCCAGCCGGCUCUGCCCCCCUUUCGGUUUUCAGGUCCACACUCUUCGUUGUCCAACACGAACUGAAAACAUAAGACUCAAACUUACCAAAAACCUUUCUCUUCUCAAAGCAAACCUGUGCGUCAUCAAAUGUGUCUGGAGUUUACUGUGGGAAGGUGUGUGUGGGUGUGUGUGAAUGUUUGUGUGCUUGAGUGUGAAGGUCAGUACCAAACAUUCAACAUUAACUACUUAAGUGUGGAUUCAUUAAUCCAUUAUAAUUACCCCAAAGCAUAAUAGUCAUUCAUUUGAUUAAACACAUUUAUAAUGAGCAAAAUGAUAAUGGUUAUUUUAACAUUAAAAUCAAGAAAAAGAAGUUUAAACUUUAUGUUUUGACUUGGUCUGGGUACAACUCAUGUAAACACAUCUUCUGGUAGACUGCAGGUGGCAGAUGUUAUGGUUUCCUCCCAGACUCACUGGCGUUCAGGACUUAAUCUGUGGGUGAAAGUUCUCAAUGACCCAGCUUUGACCUAGCUGCGUCCAGCACCACCUUUGUGAUAGAAAACCCGUAUUUCCUCACGUUACACCUCCAAAUUUAGAUUGUUGGUGUAGGGUGGCCUAUAUGCCACUUUUUUAAGUCUGUCAGUGUCCGAGCUUAUUAGGUUAGCAGUUUCGGGUGGGAGUAGCCCCAUUGCUGGUGUCCAUUUAAAUUUAAUUGUAAAUGGCUUUUUUUGGCUUUUCAGAUUGGGUUUGUUCUUAUAGUACAGGGCUAAUUUGAUCCUCCUGUGGUAAUUCUGUAAGUCAUAUUUACAUUAAAACCAGAUGUUUUAGUUAAUUUUGGGUUGGGAUGAAAUUUAUUCCUUUGCUUAGCAGAGGAAGCUGUGCCUCAGUUAAAACAAAUCUUUUUGUUAAGUUAACCAUUCCUUUAGUAGCCCCUCCCCUAAUUGGGCUUACGGGGACAUUUAGUUUAGGUAUUGUAACCAACUUUCCAGGAUUCUGUUAGCCGUAAGUGCAGACCAAUGGACCUUAUCUCUGUCAUUGUCUAUGACCACCUGUAUGUCCCCAGCAGGGAUGUAAUGACUCAGUUUGCAGAUUUUGUCAUUCAAACACCUUAGAACAUCUUUUUCACCUGCUGACAAGUCUGGUGAGAAGUUCACCUGUGGUACGAUGAUCCGGGCCUCUGGGAAUUUAGUGUGGGCUGCUGCCAGAGCCUGCUCCACAUGAUCAAAUAACCCUUUAUUCUUUUUACCUUGGGACCUGUCAUUGAUCCCAAAUGAGAGAAUUACAUUUUGUACCUUGACCUCUGUGGUGACCUUCUGAAGGAUGUCUUUAGCAUGUCGCCAUCCUGCUCCUGAAAAGCUGUCAAUUUGCAGCCCCUCGAUAGAUGGCAUUCAUUCUGGCUAAGUUGGAGUCACCCAUAAUCAGGUUGGGCUCUGUCACAUGCAGGGACCAGUUCUUCUUAUUGUUGCCCGGGUGUGGUGUGGGUGCACAUAUGGAUGGUUUCUUUGGAUGAGUGGACUGGCCUGCAGCUGGGGCUUUGAUCUCUGGGUCACCUGCUUGUUCCUCUCUCAGGUUGUUCUCUUGGUUCUCGAUGUCCCUCAUCCGCCUCUCGGGAGUCGUUUCUUGGUGCUGCAGUUUGGGUUGGUCACCUUGUGUUGACCUUUGGUUCGGCUGUGACCGGGCUCUCCUCCUCACGGUCCUGGAUGGAAGGGGUGCUGUCAUCUCCGCCGGUGAGCUUUGUGGGAGCUUUAUGUCCUUCUCUAUGAUCCUAGUGAGCAAGGUCAAAGGUGACUAUGGAGAGGGGGAUGGAUCUGGGCUGGUGGAGACAUCUCUCCGGUAGCUUUCAGGUGGGCUGUCAUCCUCUGAUUCAGACAGGUCCUCAUCUGCUGUGGGCUGCUGGGCUGUCUGGGUGGAGUGCUCCUGUGUGAGGCCGAAAAGCACCUCCCUCUCUUCCUGUGGUCUCCCCCCUGGGUGGACCUGCCCCGGUGGCAAACACCAGACUGGGAAUGCUUGGGUCCGUGUAAUUGGCAAAACCGGGCUCAGCUAGUGGUUCAAGUCUGGCUGAGGGGUAGCAGCUCGUCUCACCUCAACUUCUGUGGUUGGUGUAUUCAGUGGGGGACUGCCGUGGUCUGUUGGCCCCUCCAAUCUGGCCACCAUGAAGGCCUGUGCUUGUUCCAAGGUGUCUCUGGUGAGUCUUCUGCCCAGGUUCCUCCUGGCCCAUUUAGCCGCCACCUGAAAUGGUGAUAGCCAAUCUGGCUCAGGGUAACCAGUCAGUGUUAACACCUCAUUCUCCAUGGUCUCUGUGUAGUGAUCUUUUAAAAUCAAAACCAUAUUAUAAGCCCAGUUUUUAGUGUUCCCACUAAUCAGGUUUUUGGUUUUGGCUGUGGGAUUUGCGGGCUUAAUGGAAGUUAUGAGACUGUUAAUUUUCCUCUGUAGUGAAGGGGGAUAUUCACCCCCUGUGAUUUUACUCAAGUGGUCAGUCGCUUUAAUGACAUUAUGAAUGAUGCAAAUAGGGUUGUCACGGUAUGAAAAUUUAACCUCACGGUUAUUGUGACCAAAAUUAUCACGGUUUUCGGUAUUAUCGCGGUAUUUUUUAAACGGUGUUGCAUAUGUUCAGAAAGCAUUGAUAGUCCUGUUCUACACAAACUGAAAUAGUUCUGAAAAGGUUUAACAGUGUUUAUUAAACCUAAAAUAACACAAAGCCUUAGCAAAAGUGCAACUUUUCACAAGUAAAGGAACAAAUAGCUUCUUUUUCUGGAACAUGUUACAGUAGUCAGUGCAGGUUUAAAUGAUACAAAUCCAAACAUUCAAAACAUAAACAAUAUGUAAACAAAUCAAAGAAACACCACUUGUUUUCUCAUAUACUUGUUUUCUUCAUUAUCAAAAUGAAAAUCUAAAACUCCAGUCCACACUUGACUUGAGCACUGUACAAGUCAACCUUAAAAAAUAUGUAUUUAAAAUAAAUAGCCACUUUAAACAAAUGACUAAAAUAACUACUACACUAUGUAAUCAAAUCCAAAUGUUCAAGUAUAAAUGGCAUUGAAUAAGUAAACAAAUCAAUGACAAGGAACUAAUUGUAUAUUUCUCUUCAUCAUCAACAAAUAAGAUGCUUCAUCCAGCAACAGGGUGUCCGUGACACGGUUUAAAUGCUGGCAGAGGACGCUGCGGCUGCAGGAUAUAUUGACUCGUUGCAUUCUCCCUCAACCAAAAGUCCUCGCGUCAUGCAUUUCAGCUAAAAUGCUAAUGUUAACUUACCUUGCACUGGCUGUAGAGACGUGGGUGAUCGUCACACAGAUGUGCCAUUAGAUUCGAAGUGUUACCUUCUGCAGACACUUGUUUCCUGCACGUUCUGCAAACGGGAUAGCCGUCUUCUAUUAACUGUCCCUCAGCAUUUUUCAGAAAUCCCAAAUAUGCCCAUGCUUCCGAUUUAGUCUUCUUUGAGGGCUGAUGGAUGUCCUGGGCGCUGCCGUCUCCUCCUUCGGCCAUUAUUUCAGCUUCAAAGUUUUGGUGCCGUUGCAAACUAAAAAGUGCGUGUGCACGCCGCGAGAACUUCAGCUGAAGCGACGGUGGCUGGUAAGGGUCACCGCGCUGAAACCGCGGCCACGGUAAACCCACCGAGAUAAUAUAGUUUUUUAAAAACUGGACGGUUAUUUUUAUUGUCAACUUUUUUACCGGGUUUUACCGCUAUACCGGUUACCGUGACAACCCU